GGCACUGCUGGCCAUCCUGUGCUCUCAGAUCUCCCAGGCAAGUGUAAUGAUUGCACCCGUUUUGGGUUGACUUGGGUACCCUAAAAAAGGUUGAAGUCUUAACCGCUGGAACCUCAGAAUAUGACCUUAUUUGGUUAAUUUGAGGUCGUACUGGGCUAGGAUAGGCCCUAACCCAAUGUGGCUGGUAACCCUAUAAGAAGAGAGGAAGAAUAUAGUAUAGAGACCCGAGGAGGAAGACAGCCAGGUGACGUCAUGGAGGCAGAGAACGUAGUGAUGCAUCUGUAAACCGGGAACACCAAGGUUUACCGGCCACCACCGGAGGCUGGAGAGGGUCCUGGAGCAGAUUCUCCCUUAGAACUCCAUGAGGAACCAACUGUACUACCCACAUGUGGCUCUUGGACUUCGGGCUUUAGAAGGGGGGGAAUGACUGUGGUUUAAGGCACCCACAUUUGUAGUCCUUUGUUACUGAAAGUCCAGGAACCUAAUACACUCUCUUUUUACAGAUGAAUAAUCUGUGGGUAAGACAGUUUGUCCGACUUGGCCAAUGAAGGAUAUAAAUAAGGGCUAGAAUUUCAAGAACAGCUAGACGAUAGGCACACACACCCUUGGCCCGUUUGCAAAUUCCCAUGUGAAGUCAUAUAAGGUCCAUGGCCUUCUGGCAAGAUUCCUUACUACAUCCUUGGCAAUGCUCAGUAUUACUGUCUAGUCAUUUUUAGAUACAUUGUAUGAUGGCCACAAAAAACACCUUCUGGUCCAAAUCUGCAAGGAAAUGGAUAGACAGAGGUGCUGGGAGGACUGCUCCCAGCUCUACGGCAAAUUUCCAAAUGCAAUUGGCUGGCGGGUUUGGAUGCAACUCACCCUAUUUUGAAAAUAAAGCGUUAAUUCUAUGUAUCACUCCAUUUGUUCUCUCAAAUGAAAAGUGAAAGAUUAAUUCGUUAGAAACAAAUCCUUUCAC